ACAAGGAAGAGCAGACCUGUGGGUGUUGCAUCCCUAAGUGCUAAGAGCUCUGUUUGUGCAGUGUAUGUGGUUAACACAAAAUUAACAAGUACCCAGUAAAAAGACACAUACAUCUACAAGGAUUAAGACUUGCACCCUCAGCAUUGUGGAGUUGUGCGGUCUCUGUGUCUUCUAUCUUCUCCUUCUUAGGCUAAGCCAGUUACUGAGCUAUGAAUUAUUCAUCCUCUUGAAUAUGCAAACAAUCUGGGGUCUGUUGAGUUAAAUGGGGAUAUGUCUGUGUCCUCCACAGCAUCAGCCAAUAACCACAUCCUUCUCAUACAGAAGCACCUGAGAACACAGCUCCCUCAUCAUGGAUUGGAGCUGGACAGUCCUCUUCUUCGCGGCAGUAACUACAGGUGUCCACUCUGAGGUCCAGCUGGUGCAGUCGGGGGCCGAAGUGAGGAAGCCAGGAGCAUCCGUGAAGGUCUCCUGCAAGGCUUCUGGAUACACUUUCACCAGCAAAUAUAUGUACUGGGUGCGACAGGCCUCUGGGAAAGGGCUUGAGUGGAUUGCACGACAUGACCCAGAAGAUGGUAAAACAAUAUACUCACAGAAAUUCCAGGGCAGAGUCACCAUCACCAGCGACACAUCCACGAACACAGCCUACAUGGAGCUAAACAGUCUGAGCUCUGAGGAUACAGCUGUGUAUUACUGUGCAACCACACAGUGUGAUAACCACAUCCUGACUGUGUCAGAAACCCUGAAGAAGGACGCAGCAUCUGUCGGAAGGAGGCAGGAGAUUACAGGGAAAAUUUGGGUGACAAUUUCCCUAAAUGACUGAGAAACAGAAAAAAUAGAAAGAUGCAUUCACUAUAAUUAGGUGAGGAACAAUGGAACCCGACUGAACAUACCUAAAUACCAUGAAAAUUUCUACUGCGUGGAUUUCAAGAACGAGGCCCAAAGUUAACGAAACUAUAAAUUUUCCAUGCAACAAUUACCCUGUAAGUAAAAUCCAUAUUCAGAGGAGAGGUUCAAUUGUGUGAGAUUAAUUUCAAAGUCAGUUGGGUAAUUAUCAUGGGGGACAAUUUUUAGAUUACAUAGUAACCUUAUAUUUAACUUCCAAAAAAAUCACCCUACUAUCUUAAAAAGAAGCUGUAUCAUUUUACGUUACCACCAGCAAAGACUGAGAAUUCUUAGCAUUCCAAAUUCUUGUCAAAAUACUGUUGACAGUACUUUGGGUUUCAGUCAUUCUGAUAGGCUAUGAAUGCUAUCUCAUGGUUGUUGUACUGUAUUGUUCCCUAAUGAAUGAUCUCUUUGAAUAUCUUUUUCAGUGAGAUGUUGCUUAGAACAAAGGUCAAUUUUUUUUUAACUUUUUUGUUUUCUUCAGUUAAGUGUCCUUGUAUAUUCAUGAUACAAGUCAUUUACAAAAUAUAUGAUUUUCCAAUAUUUCUCCUGGUCUAUUUCUUGUCUUUUCAUUUCCUUAGCAAUGACUUUUGCAGAUUGAAAAAAAUAGUUUUGAUAUUGACCAUUUAUUAAUAUUUUAUCUUUUUUGGUCAUGUUUUUGAUGGUAAAUCUAAAACUCAUUUUCUGAUCCAAGGUCACUCAGAAUUUUUCCCAUGACUGUAAGCACAGAACAUACUAAAGGAAUGGGGAGUUCGAUUUCAUCGUUUGAUCCUGAGAGUACGUACAUGAGUCAUUUGGAAUUCUUCUGUAUGAGCUGUUCGUCUCCUCCUCCACAUUUAAAAAAAAAAAAAAUUUCAAUCAUUUGCUAAAAUCAGUAUGGACUCAUAGAUAUUGGUUUUAUUAUUUGUGACAUAAUCCAAUAUUCUGCUGUUCAUUUAGCGUUCGUAAAUUUCCAGCUUUUUUGAGCUAUUGAGAGCUCUUUUAGUUUGACUCUCAUUGUUUGCCAUACGUUUACUGAGUUAUUUAUUUCCAGUAUUCCUGUACAGUGGCUAAUCAGAGUCAUUGACCCAGGCACUCGUUGGAAAAUAAACAAAAUGAUCAACUAGAUAGCAGUGCUUACGUGAAGGUA